rnacentral:misc_RNA from 1 species
GAAAUGCGAUAAGUAAUGUGAAUUGCAGAAUUCAGUGAAUCAUCGAAUCUUUGAACGCACCUUGCGCUCCUUGGUAUUCCUUGGAGCAUGCCUGUUUGAGUAUCAUGAAAUCUUCAAAGUAAAUCUUUCGUUAACUCAAUUGGUUUCUACUUUGGUAUUGGAGGUCUUUGCAGCUUCACACCUGCUCCUCUUUGUUCAUUAGCUGGAUCUCAGUGUUAUGCUUGGUUCCACUCGGCGUGAUAAGUUAUCUAUCGCUGAGGACACUGUAAAAGGUGGCCAAGGUAAAUGCAGAUGAACCGCUUCUAAUAGUCCAUUGACUUGGACAAUACUUUUAUGAUCUGAUCUCAAAUCAGGUAGGACUACCCGCUGAACUUAAGCA